rnacentral:rRNA from 1 species
GAUGAACGCUAGCGGCAGGCCUAACACAUGCAAGUCGAGGGAGGAGCCUUCGGGCUUCGACCGGCGUACGGGUGCGUAACGCGUAUACAAUCUGCCUUUCACAUAGGGAUAGCCCGAAGAAAUUUGGAUUAAUACCUAAUGGUAUAUAGAUGUGGCAUCACCUUUAUAUUAAAGCUGAGGCGGUGAAAGAUGAGUAUGCGUUCUAUUAGCUAGUUGGAGAGGUAACGGCUCCCCAAGGCGACGAUAGAUAGGGGUUCCGAGAGGGAUAUCCCCCACACUGGUACUGAGAUACGGACCAGACUCCUACGGGAGGCAGCAGUGAGGAAUAUUGGACAAUGGUCGGAAGACUGAUCCAGCCAUGCCGCGUGCAGGAAGACGGCCUUAUGGGUUGUAAACUGCUUUUGCAGGGGAAGAAUAAGGACUACGCGUAGUUUGAUGACGGUACUCUGCGAAUAAGCAUCGGCUAACUCCGUG